CAAAAUAUGAAAACAAGUGCUGAAAAGGAUAACAAAAGGUAAAACAUAAAGAGAGAAGUCCUACCAAGUUCUUAAGAAAUGAUGAUACCAGUUACCCAGGAAGGUGAGGGUAUAAAGCAGAUGUGUUGAAACAGCUGACCAUGUCUUCUUCCUUCCUGGCUUCAGUCAAGAGUUAAUUCUUCCAAGAAAUGAACCAGGGAGGUUCCAAACAUGGAAAUACCAGACAAGGAAAUUUCUCUAAGAUAUAUGGAACCUGGAAGAUAAAGCCACUGACUUCCUGAAAACCCAGAAGCUCCGCUUGCAG
rnacentral:lncRNA from 1 species